GGAGGGAUGGCCGAGCGGUUUAAGGCAACAGUCUUGAAAACUGUCGUACGUUAACGCGUACCGUGGGUUCGAAUCCCACUCCCUCCG
rnacentral:tRNA from 1 species